AUGUGGUCAGUUGCUAAUGGGCAAUUGCACAGCUUUGCUGAGAUUUUCCUGACAAAAGGUGUUUUAUGCUGUUCAUCACUAGAAGUAAUCCUUUUAACAAGAAACUCUUUCCUAGACCUAGAAGAUCAGAUGUGAUUCAGUAAGGUGAGUAUUGAUUAAAUAAUGUACCCAUCCACCUGGGAAUGAAGUUCAGAGAGUUUGUAGGAAAAAUUAGCCUAAAUUAUCACUGAAUAAAAAAUAAAUAUUAUUUAUUAAUACA
rnacentral:lncRNA from 1 species